AGAGAAGCACUAUUAAAAGACAACAUUACCAUUGUCACCCUGGCCUCGGAGCAUGCCCCGACCAAGUACUAUAAAUAAGCUCGCGCACAACUCACUGAAUCUCAUCAAAACAACAUCCUCGAUCUAUCAUCAACCAGAUCUCCUAAACUUCAAACCUCAAUGGCCUCCCUUAACAGCGCCCUCUUACUUGUCCUAUUGGUUGCCAUUUCCGCAUUCAUGGCAGCUCCCUCUGGUGUUGAAGCUCAACUCGUGAACCCUAUUGCUAAUAACGUGUUUAACAUCGGCGGGACGGUGUUAUGUCAGAUCAAUCAGACGUUCCCGGGAGGCGUUGCCUCGCCUUUUCCUCAAGCGGCAGUGGAACUGCGGUGCCGAAAUUUCACUGUUGCAAGAACAACAACAGACGAAUCCGGGAGAUUUAACAUCACUUUGGGUCCUGUUGACCAAUUCACUCAAUUAACUAUACAAGACUUUCUUCAACUCGGGGGUUGCCGAGUGAUUGUUACCACAUUGUUGGCUCAGUGCAAUGCCAACCUACCCGUCCCUGGAAAUCUAGUCGCAAACUUAACUGCAGGUGUCUUCAGCAUCCUCAAUGGUAUCAACGUCUUCAAUUUUGUUGCAGGAGUUUUCAGGUUGGUUAACGGUCUGGGCAUAUAAUAUCCUCCUAUAUAAGCAUCGAUCGCUCAGCCGAUGUUACAAAUAUAUGUACCCCAAAUAAAGUUCAGUGUAAUAUUGAUGGAUAUAUGCAGGCAGCAAUCAAUCAUAACACAAGUUACUUUACUUUUUAAUUUUUAUAUAUGUUGGCGUUUGAUUUUACUUGCAGACACUUGUAUUAUGGAGGGAUCACCACAGAAUCAAAUGUGUGAUAUUCUGUAACAAUUGAGGUCCUCUAAUUUAUAUACAAGAUAUUUUAAUGCUUUAA